CAUUACAGAAUGACUUUAUCUUUCUAGUCCACUGUAGUCCAGGAGGAAGAGAAGAAAUCUUUUUCAUCAGUGCAUUACUAUCAUUAUGGAAUGCGGAGGCUUAAUAUACAUCCAAUUUAAAUUUAUUCUUCUCAUGGGGAAAAUUUGGAGACCAUCAAUCUGAAUGUAUUCUCCAUAUGCUUCAUGCAUUGGGUUGAUCCCAGAAACCAAAAAUGACAUUCUUUGUUAUCCUAUUGGAUUCUCUGGUCCUUCUACUAAAUCGAGACAUUUAAAAAAAAAAUGGUGUCCCAAAAAUCUUAGUGCAUUUUAAGGUUAUUAAACCUUAAAAACAAACUAAGACUUUUGGGAUACUCUUUAUAGCUAAGAAGACAUUUUCUUUAACUCUUCUCUCUGUUCUCUAAUCUCCAACCAAAAUCCAUUAUUGACUUUCUCUUCUAAAAUAGGGAAUCGUAAUCUGGCCUAUUGUUUUAGACAGAAUUAAAUAUUUUAAAAUUCAGUACUAGGAUUCAGGUUUUUCCUUCGGGAUUUAAAGGACCUCUUCUACUCUUGAGUUUGUUUCAUGAGCUGAGUCCUCCCAACAUAGUCUCUCUGCAGACAGGCUUUUUCUGCAUUGGGAGGCAUCCAGAUAUUUUUUAGGAGUAUGCCCUUGUUGGUACAUCAUCAACUGAAAGCUUUAUCAUCAGACUGGGCCAUGCAGAGCUUCCAAGUGAACUUGUGUCUUGUUCCAUCUUUUUUUUCUGAUUUUUUGAGUCUGCUCUUGAGAGGAGAACAAGUUCAUGCGACUAGUGUGCCUGCCUGGCACAGUCUAACUAAUUUUAUUCUUGUCCUAAAUUUUUUGCCCAUUAUUAACUUUAAUUCAUGUCACAACAGAGUUGAAAUAUACUAACAUUACAAAAAGAAAUAACUUUUGCUUUUCACUCUUCUAUUUUUUUCUUCCCCUAAGUAUCUGUGAUGACAUGGAAGAUGGGAAGGGCUCUUGUUUUUUUUGUUUUCCAUUCCUUAAACUCUGACUUUUAAGCUGAAGUUAAAAGGCACUGCUGGGGGAUGGAGAAGUGUAGAGGAUGGAGAACUGAUCUUGGUGCCUGUCAGGUACCACUGACCUGCAAUGCAAAGGGAAUUUCAUAUCUAAAGCUCCCUAAACCAAAAAAAUCAUGGAUUUAAUUUAAAAAUGAAAAAGAGGAGUGACAAAGUUAGAAAAGAUAUUGACUUACAGCUCCUAUCAUUGUACUUUUUCAAUUUUGUAAUGCAAUCUGGAAAGGACCUUAUAAGCCAUUUAAGGCAAUCCUCCCAUGGUUCAUAUUUUUUUUUAAGACCCCAGGAGGUUAAAUGACUUGCCUCAAAGUUACAUAAAUAGUCAACAAUGUUGUAUGACAGAUCCAAUGCCAGCAUUAGUAUCAAGAAGAUUUGGGUUCAAAUCUCUCCUAACACAUGUCUUAGCUUUGUGACUAUGGAUAAAUCAUUUAACUUCUCAAUGCCAGUUAGACAACCUCCCACCCCAACUCCUAAUCAAUUUUCUAAGUCUUGAAAGACUUGGGAAGGGAAAAAAAAGUCUAAUCUAUUAAUGAAGAGAGUUUUCACAUUAGGAAUUACCUACAUUGAAGAACUCAUAAAAUUCUAUCAUCAAUUAAACCUUUUGGAUCUGCUUUUCUGAAAGAAAAAAAAAUACAAUAUAACCCAAAGACUAGAAAGAUUCUUUUUAGCUACACCCAGAUGAAUCAGUUUUAAAGGUCUUGACAUUUAACUGCAUAGUUCCCCAAUUUAGGAGGGAAAUCAGGGAUAAGUUUUUGCAUAGUCUUCACUCUGUCCUUACACAAGAACUCAACCCUUCUCUUUUUGGUUUGUUUCUGCCUAACCAGAAAUUUCUUAAGAAAAAUGAUUUAAUAAAAAUUGUCUUCUGUUUGUCACUAUCAAAAUAAUUUGGUUCUUGUGGUGUGGCUGAGGGCAAGGGAGAUGUCAAGAUGAUUAACAUGAAUUCUUCUGAAUUUGCUAAAUUUGAUAAGGAUACAUUUUGAAAGAGAUUCUCUCCCUGUACUUCUCCUCCUUCCCCAGUCAACUUGACAAAAAAGGGGUGUUUAAAAAAAACUACUUGAUUAUGUUUAAAAUCAUUAAGGUUAGAAAUACUUUUCUAGCAAAAUUCCACCUUUCUAGCAAAAGUCUCCUGCUAAUAAUUCAUUCCUAUGUGUUUUCUGUUAUGGACUGGGGGAGGGUCCCUUUUUUCUACAGUUGUAAUAAAUAUCUUCUGUAAACCAUAAAUAAGUGUAAGCUAUGUUCUCUUCUAAGAGCUAUAGUGAGCAAAUAUAGAGCUUGGUGGCUGUCAUCAGCAGUACUCAGACACACGGACUAGACAGAGCAUGAAUAGCUCUGUAAAAGAGUCAUAGCUAUAACAAGUAACAUAGUGCAGAGGUGGAAAGGAAAUAAUCUUUCUAUUCUCACCACCAGGAUUUUGCCACCAGAAUUCAAUAUCCCAAAGAAGCAAUGCCUCCUGCUGCCUGUUAAGGCUAGGAAGUCAGUGAGACAGCCUCAUAACCCAGAAGAUGUAGGUAUUUCCUGUGCACUUGGUAAUGUCCACACAAUAGUUAAGAGCCCAGAUACUCAGCAAUGACUGGGGAAAGUGACCCAACUCAUUCCUCUGAGUCUUCUUUUGUUUAAUUAUUAAGUAAUUUUUCUGAAAUCAUGAAGCAAGAAGGCUACACACCCACUAAACUCUUAAAUGGGAUUGUUAGAAGGAAACAUUUCAGAUUCUUUCAUCCCAGGAGCUCAUAGAAAAGCAUAGACGAUCCUUAUAAAAUAGGAAAAAUUGAAUUCACAAGUCUCCAGGCUUCUUGCGCUAUUCUUCUCAAACCCAAACUGCCAAACUUUACAAAUGGGGCAACUCUUGUUUUUCUCUACAUUUGCCAUUCAUUUUGAUAAAAAUUCAGUUAACCACACAGUUACCAAUUAUGUGGAAGGUUUCCUUGUAUGGAAUUAACAAAACAAUCAGCCCUGUGGGAAAUGUUAUAAAAAGGGUUCACUUUAAGUAUUUUCCUUUCAGACAACUAUUUGUAUACACCACGUACUAAUGCAUACCAUAUUCAAGACUGCAAAAGCUUUCCGCAAAAAAUGGGCAUUGUAUGGCUAUAUCAGCGCUCUUGUCUUAAGCAUUUUAGGAGCCAAGAGGCCAUUCUUUUUUGUUUUGUGUUGAUUUAAGAUUUACUCUGAACAUAACACCAAAUAAAAUGGGUAUAUGUGUGCAUGUAUGAAUAUAUAAACAUAUGCAUUCUAUAGUAUAUGUUAUAUACAUAUGUGUGUAUAUAUGUAUACACAUACAUUCAGAAAGACUGUACAUGAACCAUUGGUCUCUGUAAUGUACUGCUUUAAUUUUAGCUUUAUAAUGAACUUAGCCUGUAGCUAACUAUUUUUUUCUGGCCUACCUUCUGUCCUCAUGCUCAUGAAGUAACCUCAGUGUUUGGGAUGACUGGCUAAAUGAUAGUCCCAAAGUCAGUGAAUGUCUAAUACCCAAGAGUCUUCACUCCCAAGCUUUUCCUCUAUAUAAAGGAAUUUUCGUCCCCAGACUAUACCCCUCCACUCCAUAAAAAGCAAAGUAUGCUAUUGUAUAUGACUUUAAGGAAGUGUCCUGCAUUAAUUAGCUCAAUUAUUAACCAUUUCUCCAUUUUCUUAACUUGGUCAGAGUUUCAGUCUGUUAAAGCCAAGUCCAUUAUGUUCUAAAGAAAAGACAAUGGAAGUGCAAAUAGGCAUUAUAUUACUUUGCAGGGAGGGAGAUAUCACUUAGAAAUUAUAGUGGCAAACAUAAUAAGAUUUUAAAACUUGGUGUUUUGAAAUUCACCUCAUUUUGAGUUGUCAUAAGAAAAAACAAUGUAAAAAAUAUAUAUUCAAGUGGUUUCUGUGUUUUUGCUGAGUUUUGUAUCUUUGUUCUGUAAACUAUGGGUAUCAGAGCUCCUUCAGUUAAAUUGUGUCUCAGGUCUGCAGGUUUUCUUGGCCCAUGUAAUGGCAUUUCUUGGAUAAAAAUCCCUCCCCUAACCCACUUCCAUGUUAAGUUCCCAUUUAAAACAUUGUGUGAGCAGUCUAAAAUUAGAAUUUAAUUGAUGACUAGCAUUCUAAAGCUUGGGGUGAUUUGAAUCUAAGAAAUGUAUUUUUUUUAUGCAUUUUGUAAUCAUUUUUACAUAAGUUCUUUACUUGGGAAAUUUGGAUUGUCAACUGUAAAUUAACAAUUACAUUGUUUUCAGGAACAUUACUUAAUGGACCCAUUGUGUACCUCAAGAUCAAC
ensembl:lncRNA